CAUCUGUCUCCUCUUCCUCCUUCUCCGCAGAUUCUCAAAUUUUGUUCAGCUGUCCACCUAAUCCACAAUUUCAGAUCCUGGCCAGCAUCACCAUCACUGCCAAGCCCACCCUCACACCCGCUAGCCGAAAAGACGUCGUCGUUUAGUUGCUAGUGUUUCUGUUCGGUUGCUCAGUGUCUGACUCUUUGCGACCUCAUGGACGACAGCACACCGGACUUCCCUGUCCUUCACCAUCUCCCAGAACUUGCUCGUGGCCAACUCUUUGCAACCCCAUGAACUGUAGCCCACCAGGCUCCUCUGUCCGUGGGAUUUCCCAGAAUGCUGGAGUGAGUUGCCAUUUCUUUCUCCAGGGGAUCUUACUGACCCAGGGAUCAAACUCGCGUCUCCUGCAUUGCAAGUGGAUUCUUUACCACUGCCUCCUUGAAUAUUUAGCUUAAAAGUUGUCAUGGUUAGCCUGUUUAUUUUUAUCAGUCUGAAAGAGGUGAAUCCCAACCUACAGAACCACAUAUAUAUUUUAUUUCACAAAUCCUCUCCCAUUUCCAAGAGUGCUAUGAGUUUUGUGUGUAUGUGUGUUUUUUUUAUGAAUUUAAAUGAAUAUUGC
ensembl:lncRNA